rnacentral:pre_miRNA from 1 species
GGGGGAAGGCCAGGUCCUGGGCUGUGUCCCCGGCACCCUGGGCUCCCGGGCAUGCGCUGCUGGAAUCGAGCUCCCGGCCACACAGCCCCCU